rnacentral:rRNA from 1 species
GAAAAAGUAAAUAUUAUUGGUUUAGUAGUUAGUGUUAGGUUUUUAUUAAAAUUGGAAUUUUUAGGUGAAAUUUUAAUUUUUUAAUAGUUAUAUUAAACGAAGCUAUGAAAUUAUUUUAAGGACGAGGAUUAGAUACCCUUUUAUUGUAAAUGUAAAUUUUAAAACCAGGGUAGUAAUAGUUAUGUUCUUGAAACCCAAAGAAUUUGGCGGUAUUUUAGUCCUUUCAGAGGAAUCUGUCCCGUGAUCGACAGCCACGAGAUAUUUUACUUAUUCUUGUUUUCAGUUUGUAUACCUCCGUCAUAAGAAGAUCUUUUUAGAGAUGGAAUUUUCUUAAUAUAUUAAAUAUAAUAUGUCAGGUCAAGGUGCAAUUUAUGAAUAAGUGGAGAUGGAUUACAAUAAAUUUAUUUAAAUGGAUUAGAUUAUUAGUUUUUUUAUGAAGGUGGAUUUGAUAGUAAUUUUAAUUAUUUGUUAUUAUGAUUUUGGCUCUAAAAUAUGCCACACAUCGCCCGUCGCUCUCAUUUCUAAAAUGAGAUAAGUCGUAACAUAGUAGGCGUAUCGGAAGAUGUGCCUAGAAAGU